UCAGAUAUUGUCUACUGGUUAGGAUACCUGACUGUCAGCCAGGAGGCCGGGGUUCGAUUCCCGGUAUGGGAA
rfam:Daphnia pulex DAPPTscaffold_240_Cont7683, whole genome shotgun sequence.